rnacentral:sRNA from 3 species
AUGCUUGUAAGACAGGGUGGUGCAGUAUUCUAGUCAGUACUACCGGUUCUGAAGACGGGCCUAAAAAUCCGUUAAAGGGCACAUCGAUGAAGUUCCUUGUGCUGGCUUGCUACGCCCAGUGGUGGGCUGGUGCUGGGAGUUAAGGUUUAGGGGCAACCCGCAAUGGCAUGCGGGCAUUGACCCCUUUACCGUGGAGACCCGACCUUGUGGGAGUAAAGUACACUGCAAGCAUAAUAAUUUUGUCAGUGUGUAAACACUUCUACGAGCCGGGAGAGAACCUGUUUUGCGAUACCAUUUAUUGGUGUUGUGGACAGAGUAGCCUGCCUUGAGUGAGGUUGGCGGAUAAUGGUCAGGUGUAUAGGUAUUGGCCGAUACAUAUACACUAUAGCAGUUUGAAACCAAUCUUGCAAAAGAGGCUAGGAACCGGAUAGACUGUCGGGGAAAGCCCCUAGACUGUUCGUUAAGCGAGUUAUGCUGGGGAUUGAAGUGUGGACUAAGUGGUAAUCAGGCCCCGCUCCCUUUAAAGGGGCGGCUGAAGGUUUAAAGGGAAACCGCUGAAAUGGCGACAUUCAGUACCUUCUGUGGAAAUCAUGCCUGACCUAAGCCGCAAAAUUUACUCAGCAUAAUGCCACCCUGUAUUAUAGCGUU